GACGAACGCUGGCGGCGUGCUUAACACAUGCAAGUCGAACGGUAAGGCCCUUCGGGGUACACGAGUGGCGAACGGGUGAGUAACACGUGGGUGAUCUGCCCUGCACUUCGGGAUAAGCCUGGGAAACUGGGUCUAAUACCGGAUAGGACCCUGGGAUGCAUGUCCUGGGGUGGAAAGCUUUUGCGGUGUGGGAUGGGCCCGCGGCCUAUCAGCUUGUUGGUGGGGUGAGGGCCUACCAAGGCGACGACGGGUAGCCGGCCUGAGAGGGUGAGCGGAGACACUGGGACUGAGAUACGGCCCAGACUCCUACGCGAGGCAGCAGUGGGGAAUAUUGCACAAUGGGCGCAAGCCUGAUGCAGCGACGCCGCGUGAGGGAUGACGGCCUUCGGGUUGUAAACCUCUUUCAGCACCGACGAAGCGCAAGUGACGGUAGGUGCGGAAGAAGGACCGGCCAACUACGUGCCAGCAGCCGCGGUAA
rnacentral:rRNA from 1 species